UACGGAGGAUGCGAGCGUUAUCCGGAUUUAUUGGGUUUAAAGGGUGCGUAGGCGGGCUUUUAAGUCAGCGGUAAAAAUUCGGGGCUCAACCCCGUCCGGCCGUUGAAACUGGGGGCCUUGAGUGGGCGAGAAGAAGGCGGAAUGCGUGGUGUAGCGGUGAAAUGCAUAGAUAUCACGCAGAACCCCGAUUGCGAAGGCAGCCUUCCGGCGCCCUACUGACGCUGAGGCACGAAAGUGCGGGGAUCAAACAGG
rnacentral:rRNA from 1 species